GGACCCGCACAAGCGGUGGAUGAUGUGGAUUAAUUCGAUGCAACGCGAAAAACCUUACCUACCCUUGACAUGUACGGAACCCUGCAGAGAUGCAGGGGUGCUCGAAAGAGAGCCGUAACACAGGUGCUGCAUGGCUGUCGUCAGCUCGUGUCGUGAGAUGUUGGGUUAAGUCCCGCAACGAGCGCAACCCUUGUCCCUAGUUGCUACGCAAGGGCACUCUAGGGAGACUGCCGGUGACAAACCGGAGGAAGGUGGGGAUGACGUCAAGUCCUCAUGGCCCUUAUGGGUAGGGCUUCACACGUCAUACAAUGGCCGGUACAGAGGGUUGCCAAAGCGCAAGCUGGAGCCAAUCCCAGAAAGCCGGUCGUAGUCCGGAUUGCAGUCUGCAACUCGACUGCAUGAAGUCGGAAUCGCUAGUAAUCGCGGAUCAGCAUGUCGCGGUGAAUACGUUCCCGGGUCUU
rnacentral:rRNA from 1 species